UCGUCCUACGGGGCGCAGCAGUGGGGAAUAUUGCACAAUGGGGGAAACCCUGAUGCAGCGAUGCCGCGUGGAGGAAGAAGGUUUUCGGAUUGUAAACUCCUUUUAUCAGGGACGAUAAUGACGGUACCUGAAGAAAAAGCUCCGGCUAACUACGUGCCAGCAGCCGCGGUAAUACGUAGGUGGCGAGCGUUAUCCGGAAUGAUUGGGCGUAAAGGGUGCGUAGGCGGCCUGCUAAGUCUGGAGUGAAAGGUACCGGCUCAACCGGUACAGGCUCUGGAAACUGGCGGGCUAGAGAGCAGGAGAGG
rnacentral:rRNA from 1 species